CAUAUAUCUGUUUUAUUUUUGUUUCAGGAAUAUAAUCAUAUUUGUUGAAGUCCACUUCUCUUGUUGUAGAUAAGAACUUGCUGAGUCAGGUUGCCAUUGAUAUCAUUAUCAAAGGAGACAUCGAAUUGCCCAAGCCAGAUGGAUGUCAUUUGACUCUAGGCGAAGUUGGAAUUAGCUCAUUUGUUGCAUGGCGUCAUUACUUUACUGAGUUCACCGAUUAGCGACAAUACUUUUUGGGACACUUAACCUUUUUGGACUGUAUAUAUGUUUUGAUUGUAUAGCGUACUUGAUUAGUUGUUUCUAUAGAUUGGACAUGAUAGAUGUAAUGCAGGCUUGUGACAAAUGUGUUGACGGCUUCGAUCAUCACUGCAUGGUAUCUGUAUAGGAGAGAUUUGCUUCUUGCAUUAAAGUUCAAUAUCAUGAAUGAUUAUAUGCUAUCAGGUUUGUCAAUUCAAGAGUUCAAUAUCAUGUUGUUUAUCUAUUGAUCGUUUGGCCUGAAACAUCAGAUUGCUUGAUGGGUUUUGAUUUUUAAGCUUUUUCUGAAAAAUUUUCAACUGACAAUCAUGUGAGUUGUAAAAUCUUAUGAUCAGUUUCAACGUCCUACCUUCAUCACUCUUUUCUAGAUAAUAUCAUUAUCUGGAGGGUUGGCUAUUCCUUCUGAGUUGGAUUUGGACUUU